rnacentral:rRNA from 1 species
UACAGAGGUGGCAAGCGUUGUUCGGAAUUACUGGGCGUAAAGGGCGCGUAGGCGGCCUCCUAAGUCAGACGUGAAAUCCCCCGGCUUAACCUGGGAACUGCGUCUGAUACUGGAAGGCUUGAGGAUGGGAGAGGGAUGUAGAAUUCCAGGUGUAGCGGUGAAAUGCGUAGAUAUCUGGAGGAACACCAGUAGCGAAGGCGGUUCUCUGGGCCGGUACUGACGCUGAGGAGCGAAAGCGUGGGGAGCAAACAGG